ACGGAAGGCAGCAGUGGGGAAUAUUGCACAAUGGGCGCAAGCCUGAUGCAGCGAUGCCGCGUGAGGGAAGAAGGUUUUCGGAUUGUAAACCUCUGUCAACAGGGACGAAAAUGACGGUACCUGUGAAGGAAGCUCCGGCUAACUACGUGCCAGCAGCCGCGGUAAUACGUAGGGAGCAAGCGUUGUCCGGAUUUACUGGGUGUAAAGGGAGCGUAGACGGCAAGGCAAGUCUGAUGUGAAAACCCGGGGCUCAACCUCGGGACUGCAUUGGAAACUGUCUGGCUAGAGUGCAGGAAAGGUAAGUGGAAUUCCUAGUGUAGCGGUGAAAUGCGUAGAUAUUAAGAGGAACACCAGUGGCGAAGGCGGCUUACUGGACUGUAACUGACGUUGAGGCUCGAAAGCGUGGGUAGCAAACAGGAUUAGAUACCCUGGUA
rnacentral:rRNA from 1 species